GGAAUUGGGGUAUGGGCUAGUUUCGUUUUCGCUUGCAGUUCAUCUUCACUUUUCUCCAUUUAAUAGCGUAGCAAGGUUUCCGUAGGUGAACCUGCGGAGGGAUCAUUCAUAAUCAAGUGUUCUUUAGGGCGCUUUAAAAAAUCAAAAACACGGAAGUAAAAAGUCGUAACAAGGUUUCCGUAGGUGAACCUGCGGAAGGAUCAUUACCGAGUUGAUUCGAAGCUCCGGCUCGACUCUCCCACCCAAUGUGUACCUACCUCUGUUGCUUUGGCGGGCCGCGGUCCUCCGCACCGGCGCCCUUCGGGGGGCUGGCCAGCGCCCGCCAGAGGACCAUAAAACUCCAGUCAGUGAACUUCGCAGUCUGAAAAACAAGUUAAUAAACUAAAACUUUCAACAACGGAUCUCUUGGUUCUGGCAUCGAUGAAGAACGCAGCGAAAUGCGAUAAGUAAUGUGAAUUGCAGAAUUCAGUGAAUCAUCGAAUCUUUGAACGCACAUUGCGCCCCUUGGUAUUCCGAGGGGCAUGCCUGUUCGAGCGUCAUUUCAACCCUCAAGCUCUGCUUGGUAUUGGGCCCCGUCCUCCACGGACGCGCCUUAAAGACCUCGGCGGUGGCGUCUUGCCUCAAGCGUAGUAGAAAACACCUCGCUUUGGAGCGCACGGCGUCGCCCGCCGGACGAACCUUUGAAUUAUUUCUCAAGGUUGACCUCGGAUCAGGUAGGGAUACCCGCUGAACUUAAGCAUAUCAUAAGCGGGAAGGAAA
rnacentral:rRNA from 1 species